UACAGAGGGGGCAAGCGUUGUUCGGAAUUACUGGGCGUAAAGGGCUCGUAGGCGGCCGCCUAAGUCAGACGUGAAAUCCCUCGGCUCAACCGGGGAACUGCGUCUGAUACUGGGUGGCUUGAAUCCGGGAGAGGGAUGCGGAAUUCCAGGUGUAGCGGUGAAAUGCGUAGAUAUCUGGAGGAAUACCGGUGGCGAAGGCGGCAUCCUGGACCAUAACUGACGCUGAGGCGCGAAAGCUAGGGGAGCAAACGGG
rnacentral:rRNA from 1 species